GCGGCGGGAGCGGCGGGAGCAGCUGCUGCAGCUGGCAGGUGGGGUGGGGGCCGGCCGAACUGACCAAGCACAGACCCGGCGCGGCGGCACUGCGGCCCCGGGGCAGCCGGCGCGGGGACAUGCGCUGAUUCGAUCCCUCCGGAGAAGGCUCCGGACGUGCAGGUUCAGCAGCCAUGGCUCAUGGGCACAGCCCACUCUGCGGCAUAUGGGAUCCUCCCGGACCGGGGCACGAACCCGCAUCCCCUGCAUCGGCAGGCGGACUCUCAACCACUGUGCCACCAGGGAAGCCCAGAUCUUCAUUUUUUUAAGGACCUAAACUGGGAGCUCUUCAUUAGCACUGGCACAAAGGCUGCUGAGAUGACUAGGAAGCAAGUGCCAAGGAGGAUAGUGAAUCAAAGAACCUUGAUUCAUGGAAAAGGAAUCCCAGAAGGAGCUCUAAACGUUACACAUUCCAAAGGAUUUAUUCAGGGUUUUCCAAUCAAAAUCAUUUUUACAAAAAAGAAACAGUUCUCAGACUUCAAGUAGUAUACUGCCAAGUAUGUGGAAGAACAUUGCCAGCAGUUGAGUGGUGUGGUCUGCUUUGAAAUAUAUUCAGUUUGCUUAGGAUGGACAUAUGUCUACUUCAAAGUUACUAUUUCUUUCUAGUAAUGCUGUCUACAGUACUGUAUUUGCUUUUGGCAAGUUAAGAAAACAAUGACAUCCCUCCCAGGUUCU